ensembl:lncRNA
UGGAAGUAUAUGCAAGUGGCAAAAGACUCUACCCAAAGGUCCUAAGCAUCUCUUUUAUCACUGCUUCCUUGCAAGAUCAAAACCAAGGACUCUGCAGCGAAGGCUGGUGCAGACAUGGCAGCACUAGGCAGGACACAAUAAGAUGUAAAGCCACAACAACACAGAGCUGAAACCCCUGAACUUGCAACCAUUGAAAAAGCUAUAGCCAUCAGCCAGGAAAGAAAUGAGGUUUCUGGGUGAAAAUGUAUGCUUGUCAAAAGGUUUUGACUAUACCAAGUUCAGUAUUUUUUGCUACUCUUAAUCGUCUGAUGGCUGUAGAUGUAUAGCUCUGGAGUCAGCAAUAACUAAGACUUCACUUACACUACAGACUCUGAGGAGAGCUUGAGUAUGUGAAAUGAUGCUACUGGUCACAUUCCCAUUCACAGACAUCAUUCAGAUCUUAGCUAUUAUGAAUAUUAUCUCAUAUCCAUGGCAGAAUUCUGGGUCCAGUAAAAAAACAUGCUGAAUUAAUUUGCUAGCCUCAACAAAUAGAAAAGUACACAUAUCCUGAAUUUGUACAAAAGUUAACUUUCUACCACAUUGGCUUAUUGUAGGAUUCUUGCACCUCUCUUUGUAGACUUAAUGGCCAAUCUCAAAAACUAGACAAAUCUCAUGUAAAAUUAGCUUAACCAUAAAUACCUAGUCUGUGGAACCCCUGUAAUGAGCAAAACAUGUUUUAUAUCCAUUGUGAUUCUUCCUAACAGGAAACUUCAACGUACAGUACACAGAACUAUAGGUGUUAGCAUACUGAGGGGCCAGGGGAGAAUCCAAGAAAAAUCACAGUGUUCAACUGAUUUAUAGAUAACAAGGAAGAAAUAUUAAGUCAACUGCAAAGCCACCACAGCCAGAGUUUGUCUGUCUAACUGGCAGAGUAUUAGACAUGGUCCCAGUUGCAUCAGGAGUCCUCCACUCACAAUGAAAAGUACAGAGGUUAAGAGCUCUUCUGUGACCCAUGUCUAUUCACUGUUCCGGAGUACAUCUUUGGACCUUUGCCAUAGUUGCUGGGUAUUUGCAUUAUGCAAUGUUCAACUCAGAGUCAUCUGCCUUAGGGAGAAAGCCAUGGUUUAUAAUUAAGGUGGUGAAAAUGAUAUUAAAGAAACUUGGUUCUAUCAUGUGACCAAGUGUUGGUGAAAUUGGUUAGUCUCUUUAUAAAAUAGAAAUAAAAACAUUCUUUUCCUGUGUCUGUUAAUUCACACUUCAGACUCUGUUGUGCAGGGACUGCUGAUGGCAUAAAAGCAUCUUUCCAGUGCACAGUGAGAUCCUGACCUUGACUAGAACUUACAGCUGCUGUUGUAAUGAAAUAAUAACAAAUAUUAAUCAUUGUCAAGCUUAUAUAUUUUCCCCUUCCCUGAACAAACCAUCUGUAUGUAUCUACCAG